GAUGAAGAACGUAGCGAAAUGCGAUAAGUAAUGUGAAUUGCAGAAUUCAGUGAAUCAUCGAAUCUUUGAACGCACAUUGCGCCCAUUAGUAUUCUAGUGGGCAUGCCUGUUCGAGCGUCAUUAAGUCCACUUAAGCCCUGCUUAGUGUUGGGAGACUGCUCCAGCGGUGCUACCCUGUAGCUACCCUGCAGCUCCUCAAAGACAGCGGCGGAGUUGUGGUAUCCUCUGAGCUUAGUAACUUGUUCUAGCUUUCGAGUACACCACUUCCCCUGCCGUAAAACCCUUAAUUUUUAAUGGUUGACCUCGGAUCAGGUAGGAAUACCCGCUGAACUUAAGCAUAUUAAUAAGCGGAGGA
rnacentral:misc_RNA from 1 species